UGGGGAAUCUUGGACAAUGGGGGAAACCCUGAUCCAGCCAUGCCGCGUGAGUGAUGAAGGCCUUAGGGUUGUAAAACUCUUUCGACGGGGACGAUAAUGACGGUACCCGCAGAAGAAGCUCCGGCUAACUUCGUGCCAGCAGCCGCGGUAAUACGAAGGGGGCUAGCGUUGUUCGGAAUUACUGGGCGUAAAGCGUGCGCAGGCGGUUUCUCAAGUCAGGGGUGAAAGCCCAGAGCUCAACUCUGGAACUGCCUUUGAAACUGUGAAACUCGAGUGCGGGAGAGGUGAGUGGAAUUCCCAGUGUAGAGGUGAAAUUCGUAGAUAUUGGGAAGAACACCGGUGGCGAAGGCGGCUCACUGGCCCGUUUCUGACGCUCAUGCACGACAGCGUGGGGAUCAAACAGGAUUAGAUACCCGUGUAGUCC
rnacentral:rRNA from 1 species